AUGUCAUUAUUUUGUUCAACAUUAAUUGUCCCAACCAGAAAAAAGAGGAUGUCCAAGGAACCUGUUAAAUCUGAAGACAGAGCCAACAACAGAGAACAGUGUUUACCUGACCAGAGACAGCCAGAGGAGCAGGAUGAUCUUCAGUACACCAGCAUCCACUUCUCCAAUAACCAGGCAGAUCCUCUCUACUCCAACAUCAGAGCAGCUCAGCCUCACAGACAAAUGCAGGAACAGGAAGUUACUGAGUACACUGCUGUUAGAUUUAACAGAGGCAGUGCAGCCAAGAGGUGAGAGAGACUGUCCUCUCAUGUCUAAGAAACAAACUCACUGCUUUUACUGUUCUUUUUCACCAUUAAUGGAAAUGAUUUCAGUUGAUGCUAUAUCCUCCAAAUCAUGAAAUCUUCUUCUCUGUUUUCAGAGACAGAAGUCAGGAAACAGGAGAGUCUCCAUGUGCACUGUUCUCCACAGUCAACAAAACCAGAUGAAGGGACGGGUUGAUGAUGAUGUGAUAUUUACGUAGACUUAAAAAAUAUUAUAAAAUAUAAUAUUAAUAUUAAUAUAUAUUUGUUGUUGUUAAAUAUCACACUUUUAAUAAUAGACCAAGAUCUGAGUGUAUACAAAAUGCAGGUUUUAAAUGAAGAAUUAUUUUUUAAGGGACAAGCAGCUAUCCAGACCUACCUGGAUGUAGGAAUCCAAUAAAGUCUUUUCACAACAGACAUGUCAAAGUGGAUCAGCUUCCUCACUUUGUUCAGUGGAUCACACUUUGCUAACUGUACCAGUCUCAGAUUUAAUUAUUCUGAAACUAAGUUUAAGCUUCCCAUAACUUUUUGUUGCAAGUUACAUUACUGAUAUAAUAAAUAUAAUAUGAUUGUAUUGUUCAUCCACAAGUGCAGUCUCUGGCUCAACCACAGAAGCUUGGUAUGUUUGGUUGUCAGUCCAGACAUUACUGCUUGAAUGCCUGUCAUGAAUUUAGCUAAUCCAAGUGCAGUUGCGUGGAGAAAGUCUUUAACAUUGUCCCAACUUCCCUUAAGUACAGUUGCUGCAGAUGUGGGCUGGAUAUGCUCAUCUCUCCUGGUGUCCUGCAAGGAAACAACCACAUUCUUUAGAAUAAAAAGCUAUAUUUAGUCUACUUAUUUCAUUUAUCUGUGGCCAGGUUGUGGGAGAAGCAGCCUAAGCAGAGAACUCCAGACCUCCCUCUCCACAGCCACCUCCUCCAGCUUAUCCAGGGGAACUCCAUCAGGUCCUGGGUCUGAUCCAGGGCCUCCUCCUGGUUGGACACAGCCAGUACACCUCACCUGGGAGACGCCCAGGUGGAAUCCUUGUCACAUGCCAGAACUACUUUCACUGGAUCCUUUCGAUGUGGAAGAGAGAAAAAUACAGAGAAAAAAAAAACAACAGUCAUAUGACCUCUGAUGAGCAUGUGCUUUGGCAACAGUGGGAAGGAAAAACUCCCUUUUAAAAGGAAGAACCCUCCAGUACAACCAGGCUGAGGGAGCACCAGCCAUAUGCCAGAUCCACUGAUAGUGGUCUUCUUACUAUUCCACAGACCUGUUUGAAAACAAAGGGGGAUUGCGCUUUUCAAACUCUAGCUCCAAUAUUGUGGAACAGUUUAGCUCCCUCGCUACCCAGCAUCACCUCUGUGGCUUCUUUUAACCUCCUAAGACCCGAACUCUUUCAUGGCAUGCUUUUUUUAAUUUUUCUUUGCUAUUUGGGCUGAUUGGGACAAAGAAUUAGCAGAUUUUUUUUUUUUUGCCUGAUUUUUGUUUCUGAGAAAAAUGAGAUCCACAUAUGAGGACAUUUGUUUUAAUUUUGAUAGAACAGUAGCAGUAUAAUGUCCUCGUAAGUGGAUAUCAGGCCUUUGUAGAGCAAAAUUUUGUAUUUUGGUCUAGACAACCGAAAAUGUGAUGUCCACAUAUGUGGAUGCCAGGUCCUAGGAGGUUAAAAAACAACUUAAAACACAUCUGUUUAGACAGGCAUUUGGGUAAUGUUUAUGUGUAAUAUGUUGUUUUAUUUCAUAUGCUUUUAUAGUCUCAAGUGAAGCACUUUGUAAUACUCUUAAAGUGCUAUAUAAAUAAAUUUUACAACUUACUUACUAAUAAGUAAUGAUUCAAUGCAGAAAGGUGUAUAAACACAUAGUGAGUGAGAAAGGUGACUGAAGAAGAAAUACUCACUGCAUCAUGGGAAUCCCCCAGAAACAUGCACCUAUUGCAGCAUAACUAAGGGAGGAUUCAGGGUCACCUGGUCCAGCCCUAACUAUAUGCUUUAGCAAAAAGGAAAGUUUUAAGUCUAAUCUUAAAAGUAGAGAUAGUGUCUGUCUCCCGAAUCCAAACUGGAAGCUGGUUCCACAGAAGAGGGGCCUGAAAAGAUUCAACAUUCAAGGUCUUUAUUGUCAAUACAACAAUAUACACAGUAUACGGCAUAUCGCAAUGCCGUUUCACCCCAAGCCCCCCAUGGUGCAUUUAUAUGAAUAUAAAAAACAUGUCUCCAAGAGAUAUGAAACUAGAAAUUGCAAAUAAAUAAUAACUCACUAAAUUUAAAUAAAAUUAAAAAGAUAAAAAGGUGCUACUACUAACUAUAUCUAUGUACGAUACACAAAGACAGGACAAGAGACAAUACAAAGUGAUGAUGAAGUGAGACCAUUAUAGGAGAAAUAUGCUCUCUCUUUCUAGUCCCUGUCAGUACUCUUGCUGCAGCAUUUUGGAUUAACUGAAGGCUUUUCUGAGAGUUUUUAGGCCAUCCUGAUAGUAAUGAAUUACAGUAGUCCAGCCUAGAAGUAACACAUGCAUGAACUAGUUUUCCAGCGUCACUCUGAGACAGGAUAUUUCUAAUAUACACCAAAGAACACAAGAGGGCAGGAAAAACAAACUCAGGGGAUGAACUACAAUUACAAAAGGAGACAGAAUCAAGACAAAACUCAAAGUGCACUAAACUAACAACAAACCAAGCAGAAAGAAACAACAGUGCAAACCUAAACCAGGAGCAACCUCAGAAACAAACUGAGGAUAUUUAACAAAAACAGAACUUGUAAGGCCAAAAGAAAAACACAAAACACAGGACAAAAGACCCGGGACCUUUACAGCAGCCUAAUUUCCUUUGGACUGUCUGAAGAUACUCCAGGUACCAGAUAAAUGUGGAGAGAACAUGUAAACUCUACACAGAAAGGCUCCAGCUGGCAGGUGAAUUUAAAGUCUGGUAUUGAAUUCACAGGAUGUUUUAAACAGUUGGAAAAUGUUUUAAUUUGAGCUUUUUAUUUUUUGUGUUUAUUUUUCAGUUUGUACUUUCUGGUAAUAAAGACUGAGACAGUUUCAGUGUGUUUUUUUCUCCUUCACAAUAACUGAACAACUGCUUUUUAUGUGACACUGAAGACUGAACAAAGUAAAAAAAAAAGUCUAAUAUAAAUUAACUUUUAACGUUAAACACUAACUACAAAAGAGUGUAAAUACCAAAUUUGUAAAUAUUUCUCUGUUCUGUCCUGCAUGUGUGCGCCAUUAAGAUUGACCGAAAUGAGUUUGUUGCAUGAAUUUCUUCACAUAGAGAUACUGUAUAUAUUUGAAACAACAGUUUUAUGUCACACCCUAUUACUGUAGAGUAUCAACAACAUGAAUGGGAACAAUAAUUUGCUGAAAAGUACAAUGUGGAGGAUUUACCUUCAACAGAUCCUCUCUCACAAACCUCUCCCAGAAACGCCUCAAGUUAUCCUGCACAGAAGGAAACAGGAAACCUGCAGUCACAAAGCAAAAGCAGGUCAUAUGUAGAGAAAUAAGGAGUCGGCUACACUAACAGUGUGAGCCCAACGAUCAGGCGUUGACUAAUGGUUUUCCAUUUUAAGUAGAAGCAGCAGGAUGAUGACCCAUAAGUGUGCCCAUCAGGCUCCAGGUGCACAGGAACGAGGGGUGGGAAACACAAAGGAAUCGUACUCCUGCAAGCAGAGGUGUGCAGACUCACAAACACUCACACAGACAGGAGGAGAGAGAAAACUGAGUCGUACCAGGAGGACUUGAAAUAGUGAUGGGAUUUCCGGCUCUUUUUAGAGAACCGGCUCUUUCGGCUCGGCUCACUAAAAAGAGCCGGCUCUUUCGGCUCCCAACUGGCUCUUCAGGUUGUUUUGUUGCUUUAAUCAAUUUAUUAUUAACAACAAUAUAAAAUUAUGCACAAAAGGAAAAAAAACAAAACAAAAAAACCUGUGGUUUUAUUUAUAUAUGUUUAUAUGUAAAUACAUACGGUGGCCCCUAGAGACAAAGCACAUACAAACUCCAAAGCACGUUUCUAACGUUAACUGAACUUCCAAAACAGAGCUACCUAGAUCAUUUCUACACAAGCACUCAUAUAUAUAUAAAAAAAUGUUCAUUUACCUGUUACUACCACACAUCAAAUCCGGUCGUUGGUACUUCCUGGCUUGUGUAGCCACUAGGUAACAAAAGCUCAACGCUGUCCCUAGCAUCCUGGAGCACUACUGUUGUGUCCUGUACGUGUUUCUGAGUUUUUACGUGUUUUGGAGUUCGUAAAUAUACUUUUAUUUAUUCACUCCACAUAAGAUGUAAUAAAUAAAUCAUAUAAUACAAAAACCAACUAUUUACAUUUCAACUUUUAACUAUUUAAAUUUCCAGCUUUUUCCUUUUAAACAAAUUUAAAGUGAAACAACACAAAACACUGCAAACCAAAACACAAUUAAAUAUAAGUUAAAAUAUGAAAACAAAAAGAAGAUGCACAUUCUCUGUCAUAUGGGCCUGCAUGAAUAAACUUUCUGACCCCUUUAUCAUCCGCAACUGAAAAUAGCUGUGGAUGAUUACUAUACCUUUCUAAUGUGACGUGUUGUUCCUGGCUCUCUUUCUCUCUCUUUCCCUCCGACUCUGUUCCUGUGCUACUGAGAGUGUAACUACUGCCCCUCCCCCCAGCGCAAAGCACAAGGCUCGCGUGAGGAGUGAAGCGGAAAAAAAGUGCGAGAGAGAGGGUGAGAGAAGGAAAGGAGAAAAAACCCCACGGCUGGCGAUAAGGAACCAGCUCGCGUCGUUCAC
ensembl:lncRNA